AUACGGAGGGUCCGAGCGUUAAUCGGAAUUACUGGGCGUAAAGCGCGCGUAGGUGGUUCAGUCAGUCAGAUGUGAAAGCCCCGGGCUCAACCUGGGAACUGCACCUGAUACUGCUGAGCUAGAGUACGGUAGAGGGCAGUGGAAUUUCCGGUGUAGCGGUGAAAUGCGUAGAGAUCGGAAGGAACACCAGUGGCGAAGGCGACUGCCUGGACUGAUACUGACACUGAGGUGCGAAAGCGUGGGUAGCAAACAGGAUUAGAUACCCUGGUAGUCCACGCCGUAAACGAUGUCAACUAGUCGUUGGGGGACUUGAUCCUUUAGUGGCGAAGCUAACGCGAUAAGUUGACCGCCUGGGGAGUACGGCCGCAAGGUUAAAACUCAAAUGAAUUGGCGGGG
rnacentral:rRNA from 1 species